UACGUAGGGCGCAAGCGUUGUCCGGAAUUAUUGGGCGUAAAGAGCUCGUAGGCGGCCUGUUGCGUCCGCUGUGAAAACCCGGGGCUUAACCCCGGGCUUGCAGUGGAUACGGGCAGGCUGGAGGCAGGCAGGGGAGAACGGAAUUCCCGGUGUAGCGGUGAAAUGCGCAGAUAUCGGGAGGAACACCGGUGGCGAAGGCGGUUCUCUGGGCCUGUACUGACGCUGAGGCACGAAAGCGUGGGGAGCAAACAGG
rnacentral:rRNA from 1 species